GUCUGAACUGGCGGACGUGGCCACGCUUCCUGGCCUGGCACGAUUUUUGUGCGAGCGCAUGCUGGUCAGUCUCAACGAGCUGAACAUCCUCGACCGUGUCGUGCGAAUAACUCUACCUAGCACUGUUGCUCUUCCCGUAUCGGGAACGGAUGAUAAAACGGCUGGAGAAAAGUUGAGGAUGAGCGGCAGCAGGUCGCCGAGGUAGGAGCCGUUACGGAUGAUUCUUGUUGCUCGCGGCGUAAACAGGGCAUCUGUGUGUCUUUGUUCGCGGGUUCGAGGAUGGAGCCGGCGAGGAUGGAAAGCUCCCGUCGUGGAGCGAGCGUGCCAGAGAACUGUAACGAGUGGCGAUGUUUGUCGAAAAUAGCCGCACGAUGUAGGGCCGCAAUCGCGGUAGUGCCGGAUCUAUUUAUAGGAGCGAGAGGGAAAGAGAGAGGGAGAGAGUGCGCGCGGCGCCCCGCAGUCGCUGCACCGUCAAAUAAGUCUGCACUUCUCGUUAAAAGCUUCGAUUUCGAGCUCGUCUGUGCCCCGAACGAACGUCAUAAACCUCGUUGUAUCCUCUUAGUUUCCUGCCUUUAUCUCCUCUUCCCUCCCCCCGGCCUCACCGAUUUCACGGGCGGGAUCCCCUUUUAUAUUUAGCCGCCGAUACGAUCCGCGACAUCGGAUGAAGUAAUUGAAACAGAAUUAUUUUACGCGGCAUGAUUUCGAUGAUUUCGAGUAGGAUCUUAGGAUAAUAAUUAAAUUCAGGAAUUUAAUUUAGGAUCGAAGGAAUGAAAUAAAGGGACACAGUUUCGCUUUUAAUAUCGGCUUUAUACAAAAAAAAUGUAAUUUCGAGUAUUUUUUUUAAACCGUGAGACAUUAUUUCAAGAUAUUAAAUCUUCUCUAAGAGAUGACAAUAAUUCGUUAAAGUAAACGAGACUACGUACAGACUAUGAACGCUUGAAAAUUCUAUGUUGGAGUAUAGUAAAAAAAAAAAAAA